UUUUUUCUUUUCUUCUCUUUUCUUAACUAACAUAAUUACACAUGUAUGACGUGCCAUUCAUACAUGUACCACUUCAAAGCUUACUUAUAGUACUAGAGAGAUUGAAAGGAAAACCUAACUUCACUUGACUUGCAUUACUAACCACCCAUUUAUAAUCUUGAAAUUCAUAUUACUCCAUAGACAACCAAGCACUAUUUCCUCCUUAUGCAGUACUCAUUCAAGCACAAAUUAAGUCUACUGCAAGACAAAUUUCUUUAACAAAAAAAAAAAUGGCUGAGAGUGCAGUUUUCGUUCUACUAAACAAGCUUGCAACCUUACUCCAGGAAGAGGUGAAACUGUUUAGUGAAGUUCGCAAAGAAGUUAUUUACAUCAAAGCUGAAUUCGAGAGCAUGACUACUUUCUUUAGAGUUGCCGAUUCAAUGGAAGAGAGUGACCCAGCAAUCAAUAUAUGGGUUAAGCAAGUGAGAGAAGUUGCUCAUGACACCGAAGACUUUCUUGAUGUUUUCAUGCUCCGUCUGAUGCCUCAUCGUCAUGAGGGGGAACAGAUACCUUAUUUUUCUUCGGAAGACUUUUCAUUCUCUCAAGAGCAUAAAAGUCCGGCUUCAAAUUGCUUCUGAGAUACAAAGCAUCAAAACCAAAGUCAGGGAUGUUGCUGAGAGACAUUACAGAUACUGUCGCAAGUUUAAUAUCUCAAAAGGCAGCUCAAGCUCCACCACUCAUGUGGUAAACAACAACAAACGGUAUGAUUCGCGAGGUGAUGCACUCCUUGUACCAGAAACUGAGCUUGUAGGUAUCGACAAGCAUAAGCAGGAGCUAAUUCGUUUGCUGGUCCAUCAGGUGGAUGAUUCAGGAGCACUAAAAGUGGUUUCUGUUGUGGGAAUGGGAGGAUUGGGUAACUGUUUCUGAAUCACCUAAGAUGGAAGAGCUCCUAAGAGAAAUGAUUCAACAACUCUUUGGUAAGAUAAAGCAAUCCAUCCCCCAAGGAUUGCAAAAGAUGGAUAUUAACAGGCUCAAACAGGUUAUUAAUGAAUUUUUGCAGCAGAGGAGGUAGUUGGUUGUCUUUGAUGACAUUUGGAGUAUUCAUGCUUAGGAAGCUGUCAGAUAUGUUUUCCCCAACAACAAUUCUGGUAGUCGAAUAGUGCUUAAAACACGUUUCGGGGAUAUAGCUUCUACCUCUUGCCAAGUAACUGGUGGUAACGUUUAUCAUUUGCAUCCAUUGUCUUGGGAAGAAUCUUAGAUUCUCUUUUGUAGAAAGGCAUUUCCGGGCAACACCUCCUGCCCUCCGCAUUUGGAGGAGAUUUCUAAAAGUAUCUUAAAAAGAUGUGGAGGGUUGCUGUAGGGAAACGUGAUUUUUUUUUUAAUUUGCAUCCAUUGUCUUGAGAAGAAUCUUGGAUUCUCUUUUGCAGAAAGGCAUUUUCGGGCAACACCUCCUGCCCUCCGCAUUUGGAGGAGAUUUCUAAAAGUAUCUGUAGUGAUUUCAAUUUUCACCAUUUUUCAUUUUUGGAAAUUUUUUAUUUUUUCCAGGGUAUUUUCAUCCUUCCUCGUUUUUGAGUGCUAGACACCGUGGAGUGUGCCGGUUAUGUCCGAGAGUUGGUGGAGGUGUUUCAUUGAGUUCAGGGCUCUUUGAAAUGUAAGGGUCGCCAUUUCGGCAUUUUUCUAUUUUCGGGACGGACAGUCCCGUGUGGGACCCGCUACUGGAACUGUUGCAUAUGGGGAUUUUGGUUGGGUCCAAUUGCAUCAUGUUCAUUUUAAUUAAUAUGUUGUGUGUGACUAUUUUUAAUAGUUGAUGAAUAUGUAAAUUUAUGGAGGGAAUUAAUGAGAAAAAGAAAAAGGAAAAGAAAAGGAAAAUUGAGUGAGACCCACCCCCCACCUUAAAGGGGUUAGAGACCACUUUUUGGUCUCUCAAUUUCUCUCUUCUCCCGUAUCUCUCUCCCUCCUCUUCUUGUUUUUUUUUUUCGUUUUUUUUUUUUUUGGUUCCAAAUUUCAAUUCUUGAUCUCUCUCUCAAUAUUUGGUAUUUUUGAGUGCCGUUUGCGGCAAAUGGAAGAUCACGGUGAGUUCUACGAAUUGAUGAAGCAAUUUUGUGUUUGGUGCACUCUAGGAGACUUGGGAUUUAGGGUACAAAUAGGGGCUUUUUACAUAUCUUGAGGUUCGGGAAAAGAAGUGGCGGGCGAUAAUCCAUCGCAACUUUAGCUUGGAUUAGAAGAAUGUCUCUUUUUGCUAUAUUUUGUAAUUGGGCCUAAUUUUUGUAAAGUGUUAACUAAAAAUGUAUUAUUUUGCAACAAGUGAUGUAUUUAGGUUCAUUUUGUAUAUGGCCAUUAUGGAAAUGUAAUUAUGUUUUAAUCACAAUAUAUCCCUUUAUGUCUUUUAA